rnacentral:piRNA from 1 species
UACCGAGUACAGACAGAAGCCCAGGAA